GAUGAAGAACGUAGUGAAAUGCGAUAAGUAAUGUGAAUUGCAGAAUUCAGUGAAUCAUCGAAUCUUUGAACGCACAUUGCGCCCGCUAGUAUUCUGGCGGGCAUGCCUGUCCGAGCGUCAUUUCAACCCUCAAGCCCCCGGGCUUGGUGUUGGGGAUCGGCGAGCCUCCGCGCCCGCCGUCCCCUAAAUCUAGUGGCGGUCUCGCUGUAGCUUCCUCUGCGUAGUAGCACACCUCGCACUGGGAAACAGCGCGGCCACGCCGUUAAACCCCCCAACUUUUUAUAGUUGACCUCGAAUCAGGUAGGACUACCCGCUGAACUUAAGCAUAUCAAUAAGCGGAGGA
rnacentral:misc_RNA from 1 species